rnacentral:rRNA from 1 species
GGGUUGUGAGGUUAAGCGACUAAGCGUACACGGUGGAUGCCCUGGCAGUCAGAGGCGAUGAAGGACGUGCUAAUCUGCGAUAAGCGUCGGUAAGGUGAUAUGAACCGUUAUAACCGGCGAUUUCCGAAUGGGGAAACCCAGUGUGAUUCGUCACACUAUCAUUAACUGAAUCCAUAGGUUAAUGAGGCGAACCGGGGGAACUGAAACAUCUAAGUACCCCGAGGAAAAGAAAUCAACCGAGAUUCCCCCAGUAGCGGCGAGCGAACGGGGAGCAGCCCAGAGCCUGAAUCAGUGUGUGUGUUAGUGGAAGCGUCUGGAAAGGCGCGCGAUACAGGGUGACAGCCCCGUACACAAAAAUGCACAUAUUGUGAGCUCGAUGAGUAGGGCGGGACACGUGGUAUCCUGUCUGAAUAUGGGGGGACCAUCCUCCAAGGCUAAAUACUCCUGACUGACCGAUAGUGAACCAGUACCGUGAGGGAAAGGCGAAAAGAACCCCGGCGAGGGGAGUGAAAAAGAACCUGAAACCGUGUACGUACAAGCAGUGGGAGCACGCUUCGGCGUGUGACUGCGUACCUUUUGUAUAAUGGGUCAGCGACUUAUAUUCUGUAGCAAGGUUAACCGAAUAGGGGAGCCGAAGGGAAACCGAGUCUUAACUGGGCGUUAAGUUGCAGGGUAUAGACCCGAAACCCGGUGAUCUAGCCAUGGGCAGGUUGAAGGUUGGGUAACACUAACUGGAGGACCGAACCGACUAAUGUUGAAAAAUUAGCGGAUGACUUGUGGCUGGGGGUGAAAGGCCAAUCAAACCGGGAGAUAGCUGGUUCUCCCCGAAAGCUAUUUAGGUAGCGCCUCGUGAAUUCAUCUCCGGGGGUAGAGCACUGUUUCGGCAAGGGGGUCAUCCCGACUUACCAACCCGAUGCAAACUGCGAAUACCGGAGAAUGUUAUCACGGGAGACACACGGCGGGUGCUAACGUCCGUCGUGAAGAGGGAAACAACCCAGACCGCCAGCUAAGGUCCCAAAGUCAUGGUUAAGUGGGAAACGAUGUGGGAAGGCCCAGACAGCCAGGAUGUUGGCUUAGAAGCAGCCAUCAUUUAAAGAAAGCGUAAUAGCUCACUGGUCGAGUCGGCCUGCGCGGAAGAUGUAACGGGGCUAAACCAUGCACCGAAGCUGCGGCAGCGACACUAUGUGUUGUUGGGUAGGGGAGCGUUCUGUAAGCCUGUGAAGGUGUGCUGUGAGGCAUGCUGGAGGUAUCAGAAGUGCGAAUGCUGACAUAAGUAACGAUAAAGCGGGUGAAAAGCCCGCUCGCCGGAAGACCAAGGGUUCCUGUCCAACGUUAAUCGGGGCAGGGUGAGUCGACCCCUAAGGCGAGGCCGAAAGGCGUAGUCGAUGGGAAACAGGUUAAUAUUCCUGUACUUGGUGUUACUGCGAAGGGGGGACGGAGAAGGCUAUGUUGGCCGGGCGACGGUUGUCCCGGUUUAAGCGUGUAGGCUGGUUUUCCAGGCAAAUCCGGAAAAUCAAGGCUGAGGCGUGAUGACGAGGCACUACGGUGCUGAAGCAACAAAUGCCCUGCUUCCAGGAAAAGCCUCUAAGCAUCAGGUAACAUCAAAUCGUACCCCAAACCGACACAGGUGGUCAGGUAGAGAAUACCAAGGCGCUUGAGAGAACUCGGGUGAAGGAACUAGGCAAAAUGGUGCCGUAACUUCGGGAGAAGGCACGCUGAUAUGUAGGUGAAGUCCCUCGCGGAUGGAGCUGAAAUCAGUCGAAGAUACCAGCUGGCUGCAACUGUUUAUUAAAAACACAGCACUGUGCAAACACGAAAGUGGACGUAUACGGUGUGACGCCUGCCCGGUGCCGGAAGGUUAAUUGAUGGGGUCAGCGCAAGCGAAGCUCUUGAUCGAAGCCCCGGUAAACGGCGGCCGUAACUAUAACGGUCCUAAGGUAGCGAAAUUCCUUGUCGGGUAAGUUCCGACCUGCACGAAUGGCGUAAUGAUGGCCAGGCUGUCUCCACCCGAGACUCAGUGAAAUUGAACUCGCUGUGAAGAUGCAGUGUACCCGCGGCAAGACGGAAAGACCCCGUGAACCUUUACUAUAGCUUGACACUGAACAUUGAGCCUUGAUGUGUAGGAUAGGUGGGAGGCUUUGAAGUGUGGACGCCAGUCUGCAUGGAGCCGACCUUGAAAUACCACCCUUUAAUGUUUGAUGUUCUAACGUUGACCCGUGAUCCGGGUUGCGGACAGUGUCUGGUGGGUAGUUUGACUGGGGCGGUCUCCUCCUAAAGAGUAACGGAGGAGCACGAAGGUUGGCUAAUCCUGGUCGGACAUCAGGAGGUUAGUGCAAUGGCAUAAGCCAGCUUGACUGCGAGCGUGACGGCGCGAGCAGGUGCGAAAGCAGGUCAUAGUGAUCCGGUGGUUCUGAAUGGAAGGGCCAUCGCUCAACGGAUAAAAGGUACUCCGGGGAUAACAGGCUGAUACCGCCCAAGAGUUCAUAUCGACGGCGGUGUUUGGCACCUCGAUGUCGGCUCAUCACAUCCUGGGGCUGAAGUAGGUCCCAAGGGUAUGGCUGUUCGCCAUUUAAAGUGGUACGCGAGCUGGGUUUAGAACGUCGUGAGACAGUUCGGUCCCUAUCUGCCGUGGGCGCUGGAGAACUGAGGGGGGCUGCUCCUAGUACGAGAGGACCGGAGUGGACGCAUCACUGGUGUUCGGGUUGUCAUGCCAAUGGCACUGCCCGGUAGCUAAAUGCGGAAGAGAUAAGUGCUGAAAGCAUCUAAGCACGAAACUUGCCCCGAGAUGAGUUCUCCCUGACUCCUUGAGAGUCCUGAAGGAACGUUGAAGACGACGACGUUGAUAGGCCGGGUGUGUAAGCGCAGCGAUGCGUUGAGCUAACCGGUACUAAUGAACCGUGAGGCUUAACCUUACAACGCCGAAG